rnacentral:rRNA from 1 species
UUGAACGCUGGCGGCAUGCUUUACACAUGCAAGUCGAACGGCAGCGGGGGCUUCGGCCUGCCGGCGAGUGGCGAACGGGUGAGUAAUGCAUCGGAACGUACCCAGUCGUGGGGGGUAACUACGCGAAAGCGUGGCUAAUACCGCAUACGCCCUGAGGGGGAAAGCGGGGGACCUUCGGGCCUCGCGCGAUUGGAGCGGCUGAUGUCGGAUUAGCUGGUUGGUGGGGUAAAGGCCUACCAAGGCGACGAUCCGUAGCUGGUCUGAGAGGACGACCAGCCACACUGGAACUGAGACACGGUCCAGACUCCUACGGGAGGCAGCAGUGGGGAAUUUUGGACAAUGGGCGCAAGCCUGAUCCAGCCAUGCCGCGUGAGUGAAGAAGGCCUUCGGGUUGUAAAGCUCUUUCAGACGGAAAGAAAUCGGGCGCGUGAAUAGCGUGCCUGGAUGACGGUACUGUCAGAAGCAGCACCGGCUACCUACGU